rnacentral:tRNA from 1 species
GCGGAAGUAGCUCCAAUGGUAGAGCGUUGGUCUGAAAAACUAAAGGUUAGCAGUUCGAAUCUGCUCUUUCGCA